CAGGUUGGACGGGGCUGUGAGCAACCUGAGCUAGUUGAAGAUAUCCCUGCUCGUGGCAGGGGGUUUGGACUAGAUGACCUUCAAAUGUCCCUUGCAACCCAAACCAUUCUAUGAUUCUGUGAUUCUAGAGGUAUGUCAGGGUG